GACGAACGCUGGCGGCGUGCUUAACACAUGCAAGUCGGACGGAAAGGCCUCUUUCGGGGGGUACUCGAGUGGCGAACGGGUGAGCAACACGUGAGUAACCUGCCCUUGACUUUGGGAUAACUUCAGGAAACUGGGGCUAAUACCGGAUAGGAGCUCCUGCUGCAUGGUGGGGGUUGGAAAGUUUCGGCGGUUGGGGAUGGACUCGCGGCUUAUCAGCUUGUUGGUGGGGUAGUGGCUUACCAAGGCUUUGACGGGUAGCCGGCCUGAGAGGGUGACCGGCCACAUUGGGACUGAGAUACGGCCCAGACUCCUACGGGAGGCAGCAGUGGGGAAUAUUGCACAAUGGGUGGAAGCCUGAUGCAGCAACGCCGUGUGCGGGAUGACGGCCUUCGGGUUGUAAACCGCUUUCGCUCAUGACGAAGCUUUGUGUGACGGUAGUGGGUAAAGAAGCACCGGCUAACUACGUG
rnacentral:rRNA from 1 species